AUGUGUAGCUGGACUGAGAGGUCGAACAGCCACAUUGGGACUGAGACACGGCCCAAACUCCUACGGGAGGCAGCAGUAGGGAAUUUUCGGCAAUGGAGGAAACUCUGACCGAGCAACGCCGCGUGAACGAUGAAGUAUUUCGGUAUGUAAAGUUCUUUUAUUGAAGAAGAAAAAAUAGUGGAAAAACUAUCUUGACGUUAUUCAAUGAAUAAGCCCCGGCUAACUAUGUGCCAGCAGCCGCGGUAAGACAUAGGGGGCGAGCGUUAUCCGGAAUUAUUGGGCGUAAAGGGUGCGUAGGCGGUUAGGAAAGUCUAUAAUUUAAUUUCAGUGCUUAACGCUGUCUUGUUAUAGAAACUACCUUGACUAGAGUUAGAUAGAGGCAAGCGGAAUUCCAUGUGUAGCGGUAAAAUGUGUAAAUAUAUGGAGGAACACCAGAAGCGUAGGCGGCUUGCUGGGUCUUGACUGACGCUGAGGCACGAAAGCGUGGGUAGCAAACAGGAUUAGAUACCCUGGUAGUCCACGCCGUAAACGAUGAGUACUAAGUGUCGGGAUAAAACUCGGUACUGAAGUUAACACAUUAAGUACUCCGCCUGAGUAGUACGUACGCAAGUAUGAAACUUAAAGGAAUUGACGGGACUCCGCACAAGCGGUGGAUCAUGUUGUUUAAUUCGAAGAUACACGAAAAAUCUUACCAGGUCUUGACAUGCUCUGCAAAGCUAUAGAAAUAUAGUGGAGGUUAUCAGGGACACAGGUGGUGCAUGGUUGUCGUCAGUUCGUGUCGUGAGAUGUUAGGUUAAGUCCUAAAACGAGCGCAACCCUUGUCGUUAGUUACCAGCACGUAAUGGUGGGCACUUUAACGAGACUGCCAAUUAAACAUUGGAGGAAGGUGAGGAUUACGUCAAAUCAUCAUGCCCCUUAUGAU
rnacentral:rRNA from 1 species